GGGGGUCUCCGAUCCCGCAGCGCCCCACAUCGUGGGGCCCCGAGGCUUCAGGGUCAGGGGGUGCCCGCGUUUGGGGUCGUGGUCCACGGGGGUCCCCACGUUUGGGGGUCUCGUUCCAUGGGGGACCCACAUUUGGGGUCCCUGGUCCAUGGGGGUCCCCAUGUUUGGGGUCCCUGGUCCAUGGGGGUCCCCACGUUUGGGGGUCUCGUUCUGUGGGUGCCCCACAUUUGGGGUCCCUGGUCCAUGGGGGUCCCAGCACUGGGGCUCUCUGUGUUUGGGGUCUCGGGUCCAUGGGGGUCCCCAAGUUUGGGGUCCCUGGUCCAUGGGGCUCCCUGUUAUUGGGGGUCCCUGGUCCAUAGGGGUCCCAGUGCUGGGGGUCCCCGGUCUAUAGGGCUCCCUGACCCACAGGGAUCCCUCACUUGGGGGUCUCUGAGUUGGGGGUCCUGGUACCGUAAGGGUCGCUGGCCCAUAGGGGUUUCUCAGUUGGGGAUCCCUCACUUGGGGGUCCCAUUGCCAUAGGGGUUCCUGGCCCAUAGGGGUCCCCCACUCGGGGGUCCCUCACUUGGGGGUCCCGGUGCC
rnacentral:lncRNA from 1 species